GCUGCAGUAUAAAUAACUGUACAAAGGCAGCAUAAUAAUUUGUUUUUUAAUUGAAAACUAGAAUGAAUGAUUAAAUGAAAUAUAAACUAUAUCAAAUUUAAAAAAUAAAUUUAUUAUUUAAAUAAAAAAAUUUAAAUAAAUUUUAAAGACGAGAAGACCCUAAAGAAUUUUAAUAAUAAAUUAUACUAUAAAUUUAAAAUUUAUUAUAUUAAUUGGGGAAAUUUUAAAAUUUAAAAAAUUUUUAAUUAAAUAAACAUAAAUUUUUGAAUAUUUAAAAUUUUUUAAAAAAUUAAAUUAAAUUACCUUAGGGAUAACA
rnacentral:rRNA from 1 species